AUUCCGGUUGAUCCUGCCGGAGACUACCGCUAUCGGAGUCCGAUUUAGCCAUGCUAGUCCACCGAACCUUUGGUUCGGGGCGGAAAGCUGAGUAACAUGUGGCCAACCUACCCUGUGGACAGGAAUAACCUCGGGAAACUGAGGAUAAUGCCUGAUAGCAGAACCAUGCUGGAAACGCAGGUUCUGUGAAAUGACACGUCGCCACAGGAUGGGGCCGCGGCUGAUUAGGUUGUCGGUGAGGUAACGGCUCACCGAGCCCGUAAUCAGUAGCAGCCGUGGGAGCGGUAGCUGCCAGUCGUGUUCUGAGACAAGAACACGGGCCCUACGGGGCGCAGCAGGCACGAAACCUUUACAAUGCACGCGAGUGCGAUAGGGGGACUCCGAGUGCGUUCUUCCCACAAGGAAGGACGCUUUUCUGCACUGUAAGGAGGUGCAGGAACAAGGGGUGGGCAAGACUGCUGCCAGCCGCCGCGGUAAUAGCAGCACCCCGAGUGGUAGUCGUUAUUAUUGGGCUUAAAGUGUACGUAGCCGGACCUGUAAGUCUGUUGUGAAAUCCACGCGCUUAACGCAGUGGAAGCGCAACGGAUACUACAGGUCUAGGGACCGGAGGACGCCGAGGCUAUUCCAUGGGUAGGAGUGAAAUCCUAAGAUCCAUGGAGGAGCACCAGUGGCGAAAGCGCUCGGCGACUACGGAUCCGACGGUGAGGUACGAAAGCCAGGGGAGCAGAACGGAUUAGAUACCCGUGUAGUCCUGGCCGUCAACAUUGUCCGCUCGACAUGGCCCAACCUUUGUGGUUUGGCUGUGUCCAAGUGAAAACGUUAAGCGGACCGCCUGGGUAGUACGGUCGCAAGGCUGAAACUUAAAGGAAUUGACGGGGGAGCACCACAACCGGUGGGGGCUGCGGUUUAAUUAGAUCAAACGCAGCGCACCCUACCAGAGCCGACAGCAGAAUGACGGUCAGCUUGAAGAGCUUACCCGACGCGCUGAGAGGAGCUGCAUGGCCGCCGUCAGCUCGUGCCGCGAGGUGUCCGGUUAAGUCCGGUAACGAGCGAGACCCGUACCCUAUGUUGCCACGGAGACACUAGCUGUCUUCGGCACUCGUGGGGGACCGCUGGCGAUAAGCCAGAGGAAGGAGCGGGCCACGGUAGGUCAGUAUGGCCCGAAUGCUCUGGGAUACACGCGGCCCACAAUGGCCGGUACAAACAGAAGCCACCCCGAGAGGGGAAGCUAAUCUGCCAAAACCGGUCCCAGUCCGGAUCGAGGCCUGCAACUCGGCCUCGUGAAGUCGAAAUCGGUAGUAGUCGCUGGUCAUCAUCUAGCGGCGAAUAAGUCCCUGCUCCUUGUACACACCGCCUGUCAAGUCACCCAAGUCAGGUUCAGACGAGCCUCCACUACGUGGAAGCAAGUCUGAGCUUGGCAAGGGGGGCUAAGUCGUAACAAGGUAACCGU
rnacentral:rRNA from 1 species